CCUACGGGCGGCUGCAGUCGAGAAUCAUUCACAAUGGGGGAAACCCUGAUGGUGCGACGCCGCGUGGGGGAAUGAAGGUCUUCGGAUUGUAAACCCCUGUCAUGUGGGAGCAAAUUAAAAAGAUAGUACCACACGAGGAAGAGACGGCUAACUCUGUGCCAGCAGCCGCGGUAAUACAGAGGUCUCAAGCUUUGUUCGGAAUCACUGGGCGUAAAGCGUGCGUAGGCUGUUUCGUAAGUCGUGUGUGAAAGGCGCGGGCUCAACCCGCGGACGGCACAUGAUACUGCGAGACUAGAGUAAUGGAGGGGGAACCGGAAGUCUCGGUGUAGGAGUGAAAUGCGUAGAUAUCGAGAGGAACACUCGUGGCGAAGGCGGGUUCCUGGACAUUAACUGACGCUGAGGCACGAAGGCCAGGGGAGCGAAAGGGAUUAGAUACCCGAGUAGUC
rnacentral:rRNA from 1 species